rnacentral:lncRNA from 1 species
CUUCCUGCAGGAGGAGCUAUUUCAAGCAAACUGUGAGAACGAGCAAGUCCUGCACGGAAUUGGAGGGAAGGAGGGUUCCCAUGCCCCGUCUGCAUCAUGUCCUUUCUCCCAGGAAUUCAAAGUCACCCAGCAGAUCUUCCUGCUCCAGGAGGCAGUCCAUCUUUACCACAUUGAGGCUGAGGAGCGAUUUGGGGCCUGGUUCGAGGCCAUGGAGCCCCUCAGCGAGGAUGAGAGCUACAGCCUGUCCUGCCACCUGGAGCCCCCACAGGAGAGGGCCGGCAAGAUGCGCCGGUUUUUUCCUGCCCAAGGAAGAACCGCGCAUCUCUCAGCUCAGGGCUCGUCACCAGACCCCCGACGCAGAACCCAGCAACAGUGGCAGAUCCCGGUCCUUCCAACAGCUCGAGUGCAGCCUGCUCUUCAGCGGCGGGGACACAGCUGGGAAACACGCGGGGCCCCAGGCCG